UCCUCCGUGGCGCAAUUGGCUAGCGCGUCCGACUGUUACUUCUUCUCAUCGGGAAGUUAGCGUACAUCGGGAGGUUGGUGGUUCGAGCCCACCCGGGGGAG